rnacentral:rRNA from 1 species
AGGACGAACGCUGGCGGCGUGCCUAACACAUGCAAGUCGAACGAAGCUCCCUGAAAUGAGAUCGUCAAAUGGAUGGGAUGACUUAGUGGCGGACGGGUGAGUAAUGCGUGAGCAACCUGCCCUUCGGUGGGGGACAACAGCUGGAAACGGCUGCUAAUACCGCAUAACGUAUCGGGAAGGCAUCUUCCUGAUACCAAAGAUUUAUUGCCGAGGGAUGGGCUCACGUCUGAUUAGCUUGUUGGUGGGGUAACGGCUCACCAAGGCUGCGAUCAGUAGCCGGACUGAGAGGUUGAACGGCCACAUUGGGACUGAGAUACGGCCCAGACUCCUACGGGAGGCAGCAGUGGGGAAUAUUGGGCCAAUGGGGGAAACCCUGACCCAGCAACGCCGCGUGAAGGAAGAAGGCUUUCGGGUUGUAAACUUCUUUUAACAGGGAAGAUAAUGACGGUACCUGUUGAAUAAGCCACGGCUAACUACGUGCCAGCCGCCGC